GAAUGAGGAUGUGGUGGGAUGGCAAUGACGGCCACAAAUCGGAUUGGGGGGAUGCAGAGGAGAUAAUGCCUGAGAAUUAAAGCCAGAGCCUGAACCCCUGGGCCAGAGGGCACCUGCGUAGACCCACCUGUGUAGUUCUUGGUUAGCUAAGCUGCUAAAUCCCCACAUUUGCUUAAGCCAUUUUGUUGUUAUUUUCAAGUGAAGAAUUCCUAACUGACGAAGCACCGGUUUUCACAGGCAGAAUUUGAUAGAGUUGGAGAAAAUGAGCAGCCAGCAGGGUCAGGGCCUGUGUGAUGCUGACAGGGACAGCUACAGUUCCAUCUGUCACCCCCAAGAUUGCCCCGGAGACCCCAGCACCAUCCUAGAGCAGCAGGAGCUCUCGCAGGAAGAGGUUUCACGUGCAGCCUGCGUGGCGGAGGCCUCAGCUCGGACACCACCGCUAUCUCUGUUGAAGGCUCACUAAGCCUCAGUUAGACUGUGGAGUGAGAAAACUCCCCAAAAGCUCAACCCUUGACUCUCCAGCUGCAGCUGACCUGGCAGUCAAGGUCAGGGACUCCCUCCUCCGUCUGCUUGCAGGUCCCUGUGGCAGAGAAGGGGCAGGGAGAGCAACGAUGAAGAAUCCCUGUCCCAAGACAAGAACCAAAGAGUGAAAUAAAUGAAUGGGGUUCA